GCUCAGAACGAACGCUGGCGGCGCGUUUUAAGCAUGCAAGUCGAACGGGAUCCAAGGCUUCGGCUUUGGUGAGAGUGGCGAACGGGUGAGUAACACGUAGGUUAUCUACCUUUGGGUGGGGGCUAGCCCAUGGAAACAUGGGGUAAUACCGCAUAAGGCCCGCAAGGGUUAAAGGAGCAAUUGUUCCGCCUGAGGAUGAGCCUGCGGUCCAUUAGCUAGUUGGUGUGGUAAAGGCGCACCAAGGCUACGAUGGAUAGCCGGCCUGAGAGGGUGAACGGCCACACUGGGACUGAGACACGGCCCAGACUCCUACGGGAGGCAGCAGCUAAGAAUCUUCCGCAAUGGGGGAAACCCUGACGGAGCGACGCCGCGUGGACGAUGAAGGCCGGAAGGUUGUAAAGUCCUUUUCUUGGUGAAGAAUAAUGCUGGGAGUGGAAUGCCCGGCAGAUGACGUUAGCCGAGGAAUAAGCCCCGGCCAAUUACGUGCCAGCAGCCGCGGUAACACGUAUGGGGCGAGCGUUGUUCGGAAUUAUUGGGCGUACAGGGCGUGUAGGCGGCCUGUUAAGCUUGGUGUAAAAGGCCCACGGCUCAACCGGGGUUUGGCGCUGGGAACUGGCAGGCUAGAGUUCUGAAGGGGGAGCUGGAAUUCCAGGUGUAGGGG
rnacentral:rRNA from 1 species